rnacentral:rRNA from 1 species
GCGCAUCUGUGCAUGCAGCAUAUCAAUAAGCGGAGGAAAAGAAACUAACAAGGAUUCCCUCAGUAACGGCGAGUGAAGCGGGAAGAGCUCAAAUUUGAAAUCUUGAAAGGUCUACCUUGCACGAAUUGUAGUUUAAAGAAGUGUUUUUCUGUGACGAUCUGGUAAUAUAAGUUCUUUGGAAUAGGACAUCACAGGAGGGUGAGAAUCCCGUCUAUGAUUGCGAUUUGUAGCUUUGUGAUACACUUUCAAAGAGUCGGGUUGUUUGGGAAUGCAGCCCAAAACGGGAGGUAAAUUUCUUCUAAGGCUAAAUAUUGGCGAGAGACCGAUAGCGAACAAGUACCGUGAGGGAAAGAUGAAAAGAACUUUGAAAAGAGAGUUAAAUAGUACGUGAAAGUUGUCAAAAGGGAAGCGUUUAACACCAGUGUUGUUUUCUGAAAAUCAACCUCUGUUAGCUUUAUGCAUGUUUGUUUAGACCUAAUCAGCUAUCUUGCAAUGUUCUAUUGUUUGCAGUGGUGCACUUUUCAGUUUACAGGUCAACAUCAGUUUUUUUUACCGUAAAAAAGUUAAAGAAAGGUAGCUCAUGGCUCCGGUCGUGAGUGUUAUAGUCUUUUUCCUAUGCGGUAGGAGAGACUGAGGUCUGCAGUGUAGGCUAUUUGGCUAGAUACUCAGGUGCUAUGUGAUACCAUUUCAUAAACAACUUGUUGAUUAUGUUUUGUCUAUUGCAUACUCGCUUGUACUAUUAUACCUACGCUUAGGAUGUUGACGAUCAGCUGAGCGCG